GUGAGAAUGAGGCGGAAUUGGUCCCUUGACCACACUUCUAACCUUAUGCCUAACACCAAAAAGCUAAUUUUAGUUAUGAAUGUAUGCAAUUAUAGACCAUUGACUUUGUGGCUGUGGUAACUAGUGGACACCAGGCGAUUUGGGCGUCUACUCGUCAUCCUGAGGGACACAUUUCAUCCCUGAGAACUCCCAUGGCUAUCAACAAUGGAAGGAGUGGUUCAGCAAGAAGUUGCUUCUCAAAGUGGAUGCUGUCCCUACCAACAAUGUGGCUGCUAAAGCAUAUGAAACAGCCAGCAGCACCAGCAGAGACCAAGCAUUAUCAUGGGCUUCAGUGAACAUGGAGGUCAUCCGGAUAAAGUCAAAAGGAAGCAAUGGAGUGAGGUGGACAUCUUCCAUGCCGUGAAGGACUUUGGGGAUGGGAUGACUAUCCACCAGGCUGCCAAGGUGUAUAGUGUACCUCAGAAAACCCUGACGGACACUCUGAGCAGCCAGAUAACCCAUGGUUGUCGCAGCGGACCACCCACAUUGCCUGCACCAGAGGAUGAAAAUUCUCUGGUGCAGUACUAUAUCUACUGCGCUAGGCAUGGGGUUUCCUUUCACCAGACAACAGCUAAUGACACAUCCAACAAAAUAAGCAGGUUUUGGCACCGAGGAGAAACAAUCCCACCACUGGGGAAGAGGUGGUAGGAAAUGUUCAGAAGGAAGCACAAGAAACUGAGCAUGAGGAGGCCAGACACCCUGGACAGCGGGAGAGCUGAGUGUGCCACCCGUCCGAUGAUGGACACCUUCUUCUUGGAGGAGAGUGGGUUGAAGGAGAAACCCAGACAAAUCUUUAACUGCGAUGAGUCUUGAGUUUUAUAGCGACCAGAGCAGGCAAUGUCCUGGCUCUCUGGGGUGCAAAACACGUGUACCAGCAGGCUCCGGGAACCAAGGAGCACAUUAGUGCUGGCCUGCAUCCACGCAGCUGAGGAGGAUGUCCCCCUGUCUCCUUCUCCCCAUCGAUGAGCACAAGAGCCGCAUGGACCCUGAGGUGCUCGCUGCGGCUCAAAGGGAAGGGGUUAUACUACGUUGUCUUCCACCACACUGCACCCAUGUCCAGCAGCCGCUGGAUGUGGCAUAUUGUGGCGCUGUAAGGCUGAGUUCUCCAAGGUAGUUGAAGACCUCAGCCAUUUUGACCACUCCUAUAUGGUAAACAAAUCAGAAUUUGCUAGAGUAUUCUUCUACCUGUACCAGCGCUACUAAGACAUGCUGUAUGUGGUGGAAGGGUCCUUACCUUGCUGAAGUGUCAGCCAGACUGAUACAGAAGACUCCCUGUGGUCGCCACAUACCCCACCAGGGAGGAAUACAUGCCCCAGUGGCAGGAGAGGGGUGAGAGGGCCCCCCCACUGGAACCAUACCUGACAGCUGCAUCACCACCGCCCAUGCCUCCCAGUGUGCAACACCUGUAGGAGCAGGCCAUGUGUAUGCUCUCUCCCAGCCACACGAUUGUCGGUUGCUUAAUCCCACCAACACCAGCUUUUCCAAGCCAUCGGCGUCGGGUUUUGUCCACCACCACAAUGCAAACCAGCCCCCCCCUGUCUGUCAACCCCGAAACGGCCUCCUCUGGACCAACUGCCUCCUCCAUCUCUCCUGGUCACUGAACCACAGCAGCCUCAUCUGGUAUUCCUGACCACGGCCAUUUGAAUACAGACACCUCUACAGCACAGAAAAGGAAGAGAAAAGCUCUACCGGCCACCUGUCACGCCACCCAUUGCACCACCCUCAGGUACUUCACAAUCUGUUUGUUUCUCUCUCUCUGUUGUAUAAAUGACUAUUGUUGCUGUAUUGCAAACCAUGUUAAUCAAUGGAGCUUGAUUUUUUAUUGUGAUUUCUGUGAUAAU
ensembl:lncRNA